rnacentral:snRNA from 9 species
AUACUUAUAUGGGUGAUGUUAAUUGAUUAUAAAAAAGGUUGAUGGCCUAAGAAGGAUACCUCCAUUACAAUUAGGAGAGGGGUCUAACUAGCAUAUGCCAUUGAGGAGAGUUCAUGUCAUAAUUUGUGGCAGAAGGGGGUCGUGUAUGCACCUCCUCCAC